rnacentral:rRNA from 1 species
AUGAACGCUGGCGGCGUGCCUAAUACAUGCAAGUCGAGCGAACAGAUAAGGAGCUUGCUCCUUUGACGUUAGCGGCGGACGGGUGAGUAACACGUGGGUAACCUACCUAUAAGACUGGAAUAACUCCGGGAAACCGGGGCUAAUGCCGGAUAACAUUUAGAACCGCCUGGUUCUAAAGUGAAAGAUGGUUUUGCUAUCACUUAUCGAUGGACCCGCGCCGUAUUAGCUAGUUGGUAAGGUAACGGCUUACCAAGGCAACGAUACGUAGCCGACCUGAGAGGGUGAUCGGCCACACUGGAACUGAGACACGGUCCAGACUCCUACGGGAGGCAGCAGUAGGGAAUCGGCCGCAAUGGGCGAAAGCCUGACGGAGCAACGCCGCGUGAGUGAUGAAGGUCUUCGGAUCGUAAAACUCUCUUAUUAGGGAAGAACAAAUGUGUAAGUAACUGUGCACGUCUUGACGGUACCUAAUCAGAAGGCCACGGCUAACUACGUG